GUCCCUUCAGGGACAUCCGAUAAAAUUGGAACAAUACAGAGAAAAUUAGCAUGGCCCUUGCUCAAGAAUGACACGUACAAACGGAGAAAUGAUUCAAAUUUUU